CAGAACUAAAACGGAUAAAAUAAACUAUUGACGUUUGGACAUGACGUCACGCUCUUCAUAACUCCGCCCACUCCGCCAUGACGAACGUCAAGACAACCAAUGCGCUCCUUUAAAGCUAGUCUGAAAACAGACAUCUGUAACCUUUGCAGCGAGCACUUUUUACAAGCAAAACAAAUGUCCUUCCGCAGGACGGACACAAAGAUGGCGGUGGAGGCGCAGAAACGGAGAGCUUGAAAGGAAAGGAGCGAAUACAGUGAAACACCUGAACAGCAGAUUAAAGAGGAGGGGAAGCGACGGAUGAUUAACCCCGUCUCCAAGGCUGGACGGAUGGCGACCUUCACUUCCAGACGGAGGUUGCCGCACCGCAGCAGGAGCAGCGGACAUGACGAAAACGUCACGAUUCUCCGCACAUGUGAUGCAAUUCCUGUAAAAGUCAACAAGCUGCUAGAAGGAAAACCAACAUUUUACUCAUUUAGGAAGAUGAUUGACUUGUUUUCCUUCCCACUGUCGCCACAUGCUUGCUCAGGAGGAGGGAUUGCUGAAAAACGCGCUCAUGGCGAGGAGAGCGACAGCAACCCGGAGUCAGAGGCGCAGAGCCGCUGACCUCUUGGCAAACCCAGCCUGCUGGAGCUAAGUGAUCACCGCAGGCUACAAACGGCGCUAGCGCUCAGACAGACAACACACCCACACGCACAGGCAGGUGGACCCAGGGCGGGUCGGCAGAACCGAGCCGGAAACGGCAGGAAGAGGAGAACAAGCAACACAAUCUCUCCUGCAAGGUUGUGAAAAACCUGUUUUUUUAAUUAUUAUUUCAUAAAUUUCUCAGUAUGGCACAUGAACAGAGAUUGAAUGUUCUGAAAAAGAUUUGGCACAGAACCUUAAAGCAGAACAAACCCAUCCCCUCACCUCCAAACACACACACACGCACGCACACACACACCCUGUUCACAUGUUCCUCCAGUGUUAAUAUGCACAUCUGUGGUUAUAACAGGAUAAAACACAGUCUUAAGAAACAAUCACAGAAACAACCAGAGUCAAUAUUGCGGAAGAGAAACCGAAGCAAAACAAAGAAGCAGAUGGAGGCCAUGUUUAAUUGAACAGAGGGAAGGAAAUAUCAGAGGCCUUGGUUUGUUUUCAGUUUUCCUGAGAGACGAUCGCAGUGGUGCUGUAGAAGGGGCAAACGGGGCUAACAGGAGCUCGCUAACGGGCUAAUGGGGGCAAAUGAGGGUAAUGGGAGUUAACUGGGACAAACGGUGGCUAACAGGAGAAAGCUAACAGGGGCUAAUGAGAGAUAACAGUUUCUAACAGGAGGAAACGAGGAAUGGGAGCUAACCAGGGCAAAUAGUGACUAAUGGGAGCUAACGAGGUCUAACGAAAGCUAGCUAACAGGAGCUAAUGAGAGCCAACCGGGAAAAACCGGGGUAAUGGGAGCUAACUAGGGCAAACACUGGUGAGCGAAAGCUAACAGUGGCUAACUGGAGCUAGCUAAGAUGGGCUUACGGGAGCUAACAGUGGCCAACGGAAGCAAACAGUGGCUAAUGGGAGUUAACCUCUUGAAAAUGAGAUGAUGAGUCUCAAGUGGUUAUCCUUGAAACAAAUAAAUAAAUAGAACUAAAUAAUGUGAGCUAACGGUGGCUACAGUUAGCUCACUUGCCGUUUGUGGGGAUGAAAACCGGAGCUCGACAUUUAGCUGCAGGGGUGAUGGAGGUGGAAGGUUGGGAAACGGUGACAGGAAGUGGCAUGAGGUAGAUGGUUUCUGUUCUCUGCUCUGGGUCGGGAGAGAACAAGCAGGAAAAUGUGAGACGAUCUCUGGAAGAACGAGAAGAAGAAGAGCAGGAGUAGAGAGCCAUGCUGCUCCUCUGAAUCCCUGUGUUGGAAACGGAGAGGAAUAAUUUCCCUUCUGGCUCUGGGUCACAUAUUAGCUCCUCAUCCUGCAGGUCAUUAUAUUUUUAUUGGAGCUGAAACAAUUAAUCGGAAUAGUCACAAUAAAUCGAUUACUGAGACUUAAUUAUUCAGAGCAGUAAUAAAGGCAAAACUAUAAAAUAUAUAUACAAGUUUCAAAGCUAAAAACAUCGAAAUAUAUUUCAGCCAAAACUCCUGAAGUGGUAAUACUUUCGCUUCAUUUGCUUCAUGUUCACUAACGAAUGUUAAUGCAUUUUAGGCAAUAAAAUGUUUAUUUUCUUAUUUAAAGAGGGAAUUUUAUUACUUGUUUAUUUGUGUCUUUAAAUUAACUAAUUUAGUGUAAAAAAGGCUUACGUGUUUAAAUUAAAAUUUUUAAUGUUUCAUUUUUGAUCUGAGUGUCGGAAUAGAUUUUCAGUUGCUAAACAAAUCAUGUUGUCAUGUCUUUGUCUCUUAUCAUCUCUCCUCUCCCUGAAUUCCCGCAGCAUAAUACUGCCACCCAGGGCAGCAGAUAAGUUCUUUCUGAUGUAUGCAGGCAGUUUUCAAUGCACAGAAUGCCGACAAAUACAGAAAAUGUUAACUAUAAAUAAUUAUUCUGCAUAUUUUGCACUUUUUAUGCCGCUGCAGUCGCUCUCAGACCGGACUGGCCCAAAUCAAUGCAAAUUAAACGGCUGAUUAGGGCGCCACACCACCAGGGGUCCCCCAAGAGCAACAAGCUAGCCUUGUAAAAUAUUUAUAUCUAAAAUAACAUUGAAUAAUACAAACUAAGUGCAAAAGCGAUUUAUAUAUUAUUUUUUUAUAAAUGUUAUAGAAAUAAUACAUAGUAAAUAUAGUAAAUAAUUAUUGUAAUUAUUUACAAUAAUUUAGUGUUACUUUAAAAUUGUUCACUUAAACACCACUCUGCAUUUCAAAAUAUAAUUCUUUCUUUUAAGUCUGUUGCCAUAGUAACCAACAGCUACAGCAGCACUGCUAUGAUGUAAGCUAACGAUAAAUGAAGCUAAUUAUGAUAGCAGCCAUAGAGUAGCUUAGGAACGAUGAAGCAUCUGGUGUUGACAUGUUGGGGCCCCCAGGUGAAAAUCUGCUCAGGGCCCCAGAAAUGCCUGGACCGGCCCUGCACUCAGAUGAAAAUGUUUUAACUUAUGUAGCUAAAUUGCUUAAUUCAUAACAACAUAACGCGACAAGACGUCCUCCAGUGCCAUUCUUCAUUCCUGCUGCCCCUUUCUGUCCAUACUUGUGCCUCCGUUGUCCCUCGUUUUCCUCCGGGCUUGUGGAGGGGGGGAAGCCCGAGGCGACAGAAGCUGUUGCGUGGUAAACACGACGAGGGGCAGAAAAAA